UAAUAAGUGUUCUACUGCACUUUUUAAAAAUAGUACUCACCUUGUGUGCAAUGUUGUGUGAACUUCUACUUGUAGAAGUCCACACCUACACCAACCUAUAACCUUGAACCACUUUGUCUGAAAAACUAUUAUGAAUACUUAAUUCAAAAUA
rnacentral:misc_RNA from 2 species